GGGGAAUUUUGGACAAUGGGCGCAAGCCUGAUGACGCGACGCCGCGUGGGGGAUGAAGGCCCUUGGGUUGUAAACCCCUUUUGUUCGGGAAGAAAUGCGAUCAGGUGAAUAAUCUGGUCGUUUGACGGUACCGGACGAAUAAGCUCCGGCUAACUCCGUGCCAGCAGCCGCGGUAAUACGUAGGGACCAAGCGUUGUUCGGAUUUACUGGGCGUAAAGGGCGCGUAGGCGGCGUGGUAAGUCACUUGUGAAAUCUCUGAGCUUAACUCAGAACGGCCAAGUGAUACUGCUGUGCUAGAGUGCAGAAGGGGCAAUCGGAAUUCUUGGUGUAGCGGUGAAAUGCGUAGAUAUCAAGAGGAACACCUGAGGUGAAGACGGGUUGCUGGGCUGACACUGACGCUGAGGCGCGAAAGCCAGGGGAGCAAA
rnacentral:rRNA from 1 species